UCCGGUUUGUCACCGGCAGUCUCCCUAGAGUUCCCGGCCGAACCGCUGGCAACUAGGGACAAGGGUUGCGCUCGUUGCGGGACUUAACCCAACAUCUCACGACACGAGCUGACGACAGCCAUGCACCACCUGUACACCUGCCCCGAAGGGCUGCCGUAUUUCUACGACAUUCAGGUGCAUGUCAAGCCCAGGUAAGGUUCUUCGCGUUGCUUCGAAUUAAACCACAUGCUCCGCUGCUUGCGCGGGCCCCCGUCAAUUCCUUUGAGUUUUAGCCUUGCGGCCGUACUCCCCAGGCGGAACACUUAACGCGUUGGCUGCGGCACAGGAGGAUUCGACUCCCCCCACACCUAGUGUUCAUCGUUUACGGCUAGGACUAC
rnacentral:misc_RNA from 1 species